ensembl:snoRNA SNORA72 Small nucleolar RNA SNORA72
CUGCGAAUAAUUCUCGCCUGUUUGGUCUGUCUGUGAUCAGAUCAGGGCUAGACAUUCGCUAUAUAAACACCUUCAGAGUGUCCACAGAACUGGCUUGGUGUCUUUUCUGUUUUCAGUACUGCUGGUUACAUUU